rnacentral:rRNA from 1 species
UACGUAGGGGCUAGCGUUGUCCGGAAUCAUUGGGCGUAAAGCGCGUGUAGGCGGUUCGGUAAGUCCGCUGUGAAAGUCGGGGGCUCAACCCUCGGAUGCGGGUGGAUACUGUCGAGCUUGAGUACGGAAGAGGCGAGUGGAAUUCCUGGUGUAGCGGUGAAAUGCGCAGAUAUCAGGAGGAACACCAAUUGCGAAGGCAGCUCGCUGGGACGUUACUGACGCUGAGACGCGAAAGCGUGGGGAGCAAACAGG